rnacentral:lncRNA from 1 species
CCCCCUUCUGGUUCUGCAAUGAGUAGUUACAUUGUUCCUCAGAGUGCUGAAUUUUGAGAGCAAAGCAUUACAGAAAUGUAAAAAAAUCUUGAAGGCCAGGUGCGGUGUCUCAUGCCUGUAAUCCCAGCACUUUGGGAGGCUGAGAUGGAGUCUCGCUGUGUCACCAGGCUGGAGUACAGUAGUGUGAUCUCGGCUCAUUGCAACCUCCAUCUCCCAGGUUCAAGCAAUCCUCCUGCCUCAGCCUCCUGAGUAGCUGGGACUACAGAAAACAAGCUCAUAUUACCAAGUGUGAAAUUACAGCAAGUCUUACAGGCUGGGAACUGGAAAAGAGCUUCCCCAUCAUGGUGGAUUAUACAACCAGUGGUGGAGAGUAACUCCAAAAUAUAGCAUCUUUCUACUCAUCUUACUAAAGCUCAAAGAAGGUGAUCUACAAGAUAAUGAAAACAAGGCUCAAAAUAAAAACAAGAAAUCUUUAUGAAAUUACACAA